AUUGAACGCUGGCGGCAUGCUUUACACAUGCAAGUCGAACGGUAACAGGCCGCAAGGUGCUGACGAGUGGCGAACGGGUGGGUAAUGCAUCGGAACGUGCCCAGUCGUGGGGGAUAACUACUCGAAAGAGUAGCUAAUACCGCAUACGAUCUAUGGAGGAAAGCGGGGGACCGUAAGGCCUCGGGCGAUUGGAGCGGCCGAUGUCAGAUUAGGUAGUUGGUGGGGUAAAGGCUCACCAAGCCAACGAUCUGUAGCUGGUCUGAGAGGACGACCAGCCACACUGGGACUGAGACACGGCCCAGACUCCUACGGGAGGCAACAGUGGGGAAUUUUGGACAAUGGGCGCAAGCCUGAUCCAGCAAUGCCGCGUGCAGGAAGAAGGCCUUCGGGUUGUAAACUGCUUUUGUACGGAACGAAACGGCUCUGGUUAAUACCCGGGGCUAAUGACGGUACCGUAAGAAUAAGCACCGGCUAACUACGUG
rnacentral:rRNA from 1 species